UGGUGUCAUGGCUAAGACACGAGAGCAUUUGUCGAAAAAUUAAAAAAAUAUAUAAAUAAUUCAAGAUAAAAAUGUAAAUUUAAACGAACGUAUAUUUUGUUUGCUGUUUCAUCUGAGUCUCGUUUUUUUGACGCCACAUUUAUUUCAAUCAACCAUCAAUAGGCUUUAAUUGGUUAUUAAUAAAAAUGAAGAAAUCCUACUUUUUGCUCAAUAAAGUAGCAAUUGAUCGAUGGACGAUUGCCUUCCACAUACAUCACAGUCGAACGAUGUUAUAACGACGAACACGCUAAGACCGAAUAUUUGUUCGAUUAAAACAAACGAGAAGAUAUAGCUGAUUUUUAUAGACCGUGCAAUUGAUUGCGCCAAAAAUUAUUUAACCUACUAAAAUAAAAUUCAACUAGAUAAUUUAGAUUGAUGUGGAAAAAAUGAAAAAAUAAAAAAUCACUUGUUGGAAUGUUUUUUAAUCACUA